CAGUCGCCGCGGUAAUACAGAGGGUGCGAGCGUUAAUCGGAUUUACUGGGCGUAAAGCGUGCGUAGGCGGCUAAUUGAGUCGGAUGUGAAAUCCCCGAGCUUAACUUGGGAAUUGCAUUCGAUACUGGUUAGCUAGAGUGUGGGAGAGGAUGGUAGAAUUCCAGGUGUAGCGGUGAAAUGCGUAGAGAUCUGGAGGAAUACCGAUGGCGAAGGCAGCCAUCUGGCCUAACACUGACGCUGAGGUACGAAAGCAUGGGGAGCAAACAGGAUUAGAUACCCGUGUAGUCCCUGUCUCUUAUAC
rnacentral:rRNA from 1 species